AUAUUUGCCUGGCAGAGAAGAUACCAUAAUCAUGAAGGUAAUUUUCCAGGGCAAGGCUCAUCCACUGCACUCAGGGUGUGCUGACUGAUGCUGUUCCCCCAAAUGCAGGAAAUUUAACUGCAUAAUUUGUACUAGGGGAACUGUAUUCUUGCUCUCCCCUU